rnacentral:rRNA from 1 species
GAUGAACGCUGGCGGCGUGCCUAAUACAUGCAAGUCGAGCGAACGGACGAGAAGCUUGCUUUUCUGAUGUUAGCGGCGGACGGGUGAGUAACACGUGGAUAACCUACCUAUAAGACUGGUAUAACUUCGGGAAACCGGAACUAAUACCGGAUAAUAUUUUGAACCGCAUGGUUCAAAAGUGAAAGACGGUCUUGCUGUCACUUAUAGAUGGAUCCGCGCUGCAUUAGCUAGUUGGUAAGGUAACGGCUUACCAAGGCAACGAUGCAUAGCCGACCUGAGAGGGUGAUCGGCCGCACUAGAACUGAGACACGGUCCAGACUCCUACGGGAGGCAGCAGUAGGGAAUCUUCCGCAAUGGGCGAAAGCCUGACGGAGCAACGCCGCGUGAGUGAUGAAGGUCUUCGGAUCGUAAAACUCUGUUAUUAGGGAAGAACAUAUGUGUAAGUAACUGUGCACAUCUUGACGGUAACUAAUCAGAAAGCCACGGCUAACUACGUG